AUUGAACGCUGGCGGCAUGCUUUACACAUGCAAGUCGAACGGUAACAGGCCGCAAGGUGCUGACGAGUGGCGAACGGGUGAGUAAUGCAUCGGAACGUGCCCAGUCGUGGGGGAUAACGCAGCGAAAGCUGUGCUAAUACCGCAUACGAUCUAUGGAUGAAAGCGGGGGACCGUAAGGCCUCGCGCGAUUGGAGCGGCCGAUGUCAGAUUAGGUAGUUGGUGGGGUAAAGGCCUACCAAGCCGACGAUCUGUAGCUGGUCCGAGAGGACGACCAGCCACACUGGGACUGAGACACGGCCCAGACUCCUACGGGAGGCAGCAGUGGGGAAUUUUGGACAAUGGGCGCAAGCCUGAUCCAGCAAUGCCGCGUGCAGGAAGAAGGCCUUCGGGUUGUAAACUGCUUUUGUACGGAACGAAACGGUCUGGUUAAUACCCUGGGCUAACGACGGUACCGUAAGAAUAAGCACCGGCUAACUACGUGCCAGCCGCCGCGGUAA
rnacentral:rRNA from 1 species